CCCCUAAUAUCUUGUAGUCAGUUGAAAAUGCAAUCCUUAAAGGACUGGAUGAAUCACAUAUGUUGGCAAAGGUUGCUCACUCUGCACAUGCCAUGUGAGGGUGUGGACUAUGCAGUUUUCCAUGGAAAUCACGCAGGUGGAAAAAGUAAUUAAUUUCCUACUUUUAUAUUUGUUAGUAUGAGAGCUGUCAAAAUAGAUCUGUAGAUAAAUCACUUCUUGUAGGUAUUUUAUUUUAUAGUAGUAUUAUUAUAUAGUAGGUUUGUCCUAUCAAGAUAAGCCUCCCCUCCCAGAUAACCAGGUGUGUCAGAUUGCUUGCUGAAACUCUAGCUGGUCACAGAUCAAUUGGGUUUAGGUCAACUCCAUCUGUGUUGUCUGUCUCCCCAUGGGAUGUGUUGCCAGGUGGUGCAGGAGCACUCUGUAAUACAACCUGUCACUUUCGUUUUAGAAAGACGGUGACAAGAAACUGAACUUCCCUCUCUGUCCCUCUCUUUUUCUAAGUCCAGGCUCUCUCACCACGACCAGUUCAGUUUCCCUCCCACAGCUCAGCCCGGCGGUGCUCAGCCGGCCGGGAAAGCCUACCCUCUGCUGCCGGCGCUCCCGAAAGGCACCAGCCAGGGAAUUAAUAGCUCAGCGAAGUGCCAGGAUUGCUGGGGCUGCAGGACAGAGCGGGCGUGUUGACCCCGCACUUCACACUUCAUUCCUGUGUGCCUGUGAGAUAAAACUGGGGACACCCCACACUCUUUAAGGGUGGGUGAUGGCUGGUCCUCAGCUCGCUCAGGGCUCACUGGCAUUGCACCCUGCGGCCAAAAGGGGCACCCAGAACCAGACAAGAUGCCACAGCAUGUGUGGGACACACUGACCAGCUCAGCCUCGUCCUGCCGCUCAGCACCACCAUCCUUCCCCCAGCACAUCGGCUCCUAGAAAUCUGCUGCUUUCCCCUUGUUUAAAGACCCGUGUUCCACAGCGCGGGCCUACCCCAAGUCAGCCUACCUUAUCCACCCAGAGGGGACAGUGGCAUUGGGCCUUCAGGAGCCAAGACAAGCUCCUGGGUCAGAGGUCAGCCAGCCUGGCCCCGGCUGAAGCUUCCUCAAAGUCUGAGCCAUUCAGGACAGGAGCUCAGGUUACAGCUGCCUGAAACCCCUCCAGCUUGGCCAUUGCAAAUGGCCCGCCAUCACUUGCUACGUUUGCAAAGCCUGCUACACCUAGAAAGAGAGGUGACCUUAAGGACUUACUUUCUGGGAGUAAUUGAAGUGCAGACCUCUUGUAAGAUUUUUCUCCACUGAAUCUUCAAGAUCUGCAUCUGGAGGAGAGAGCAGACACUGACUUCAGGCUCAUGUUAGAAGUGAAGAUAACUUAUCAAAACUGUUUGAUGGACACUGAUAUAUACUGUAGCCACUUGCUCUCUUUUUGUUGGCCACAUACAUUAUUUCAGUAAUGUAUAAGCAGCGUUUGUGUUCAAAUGGCAGUAAACUUUUGUAGUGAUCCUUUUUUUUUUCAGGUGGAACCAGUAAAACAUUUGACUCUGAUGUCAGUUAUGUAAACACAUGGCUGUAUUCAUACCAAGUGGUAAUUGUUUGACUGAAACUGGCACAAAAACCAGAGCUGCUUAGGUCCAAAGGAAAAUCAACCCCUUCAGAGUGAGUGCACCUGCACAGGAGGUGUGUGCACUGAAUGCUAUGAGGAGAGCACUAAGAGGAAGGGGCAGAAUAAUUUAGAUGUCUUGCUAUUGGAGGCCUGAAGAUGUGCCUUUUUGGUGCUCUGAGCUUUAGCAGGCAUGCUGAGAGAAAUAAGGCAUAGUUGUACGAGUGAGGGGUGGGGUGAGAGUGAAAAACACUGGCAGACAGAGGCUGUUGCUACGGAAGCCUGGAACAGUAAUGCAGAGGAGUUUAUGUGGUGUUAUUUGUCACAGAUUAUGUCUCUGUGUUGUCUCAUAAAGCAAGUGAUUCACUGCCUUUUUUUUGCUCAGGGUGGGGCAGUAAUUCCUUUCCUGAAUUGCUAAAAAUAAAGCCAAACAAUGACUACAAUAUUAAUCUUUAAAGGAAAAAAGAGGCAGAAAACUGAUACCUCCUGUAAGUAACUGAACCUUUAUUCAGAGUGGAUUUAUACUAUUAGUAUGAAUAAUAAAUGAAUGUCUUUAAAUA